ensembl:lncRNA
AAAAAUUGUUUUCAUUUUAAUGAUCUGAGUUAGUAACAAACAAAUGUACAAAAUUGUCUUUCACAUUUCCAUACAUUGUGUUAUGGACCAAAUGAAAACGCUGGACUACAAAGGCAGGUUUCUUUAUAUCCUUAACUUCAAUUAUUGUCACUUAUAAAUAAAGGUGAUUUGCUAACACAUGCAUUUGUGAACACAGAUGCCAAAAAUUAUACAUGUAAGUUAAUGCACAACCAAGAGUAUACACUGUUCAUUUGUGCAGUUAUGCGUCAAAUGCGACUGACACAGAAGCAGUUAUCCUGGGAUAUUUCACUCUAUAUGAAAAGCAUCUUGGAGAAAUAGAUUGAAAUACAGUUUAAAACAAAAGUUGUAUUCUACAAAUACAAUAAAAUUUGCAACUUGCAUAUCUGAAGCAACAUUUGAGAAAGCUGCUUCAAUAACCCUGCUGUUACAUUGGUUUUAUAGGUAUAUCUCCAAAGUCAUGGGUUGGGAUAUAGCUGCUUUAAAGAAAAUAAAUAUGUAUAUUAAAAGGAAAAUUACACUUUAAAAAUGUGAGGAAAGCUUUGAAAACAGUCUUAAUGCAUGAGUCCAUCUACAUAUUUUCAAGUUUUAGAAACAGAAAGAAGUUUAGAAUUUUCAAAGUAAUCUGAAAACUUUCUAAGCCAUUUUAAAAUAAGAUUUUUUCCCCCAUCUUUCCAAUGUUUCCUAUUUGAUAGUGUAAUACAGAAAUGGGCAGUUUCUAGUGUCAACUUACUGUGCUAAUUCAUAAGUCAUUAUACAUUUAUGACUUAAGAGUUCAAAUAAGUGGAAAUUGGGUUAUAAUGAAAAUGACAAGGGGGCCCCUUCAGCAGCCACUCAUCUGAACUAGUAAUAAACACCAACACAAACUGACUUUUUAUAUUAAAUUUUUUUUUAGAUCUCUAAAGGUAGGAAAAUCCAAUCUUUCUUAAAAAUACUUUCCUGGGUUGUGGCAACAUGUGCUUUACCUCUUUAACUCUACCUAAAACCUACAGUUAUUUCUAUAGUAUAAAUUUCAAACUCCCUGGCAAGGAAUGUACAUGCUAACCAGCUAGGUAUUUAUAGUCAUGCGCCGCAUUACAACUUUUCAAAGACCGCGUAUUUGACAGUGGUCCCGUAAGAUUAUAAUACCAUAUUCUUACUGUAUGUUUUCUAUGUCUAGAUGCACAAAUACCAUUGUGUUACAACUGCCUACAGUAUUCAGUACAGUAACAUGCUGUACAGGUUUACCACAUAGCCUGGGUACGUUGUGGGCUAUGCCACCUAGGUUUGUGUAAGUACACUAUGAUGUUCGCACAACGGAAUUGCCUAACAAUGCAUUUCUCAGAAUGUAUCCCUGCUGUUAAGCAACGCAUGACUGUAUUUAACUUCAUACAAAGCGAUAACUCAUGGAUGGCUGUCAUAAUAACAUUUCCACUUUUCUCUAAGGCCUAAGGUUGACGUCUUUGCCUAUGCUCUAUGGAUCAAAUGAGAGAAGAUGAUGCAUCUAAACAACAGGGUCUCUUUGAGGCAGUAUCAUAGACUUGGCCUCCCAUAUUAUGAAAACCUUUGUUGUACUAAAAUGAAUAACAACUGCAAGCAGUUUGAGGGCAACUGCAGUGCCAAAGGAAAUGGGUUAUUUUCUAUGGGAAACGUAAGAUUUAUCUUAAGGAAACAUCUUUGUUUGCCACGAGGCAUAUCAUGAAGAAAAUGUGGCUAGUGAAUUCAAACAUCGACUCCAAGAGCUACCUAAAUUAAGGUGGCUUUAAAAAAUAUUUAAAUUAUCAAUGAUUUAGGAACGUAAGCUGGAAGAGUAAUAUAGAGAUGUAUAUUUACAAUGCCACAUUAGGAAAUGUAGUUCCCUACUCUGCACUUUGGAAACGAAAGACAUCAAUUCUGUCCAGAGUCAAUACUAUCAUAUGGCUGCUUCC